GCCCUCCCUGGGCGCGGUGGGUGUGCCCAAGUCUCCCGCCCAUCACCGGUGGGUCUUAACUCCCGCCCAGGACCCCGCCCCCUCGGUCCUACUUUAGAAUCGGCCGCAAUGCUGCUGACCCGCGCGAUCCUUGAACCGCCGCUCCACGUUGUCAGCCCAACUCCAGUCAGCACCAGGACUUCACCCCGCUUCCGCACUCUGACCCUGAAGAAGUAACCUCGUCCCGCCCUGUGUUCAGAAUCAACAUUCUAGAGCUGAAAUAUAUUAAAGGUCUGGAGAAUUAGACUGAACGAGAAUCCCAGAGGCAACACCGGCUGCAGGUAAAGCGCACAAGCUCUUCCCGCUGAAGGCUCAGGAUCUCGGGGCCUCUGCGUUCACUGCUGGCUGCGCCGUCCAGUCCGGUGGCCAGAGCUGUAGGUUGCCCGAGACACACCUCGAGGAAUCGCCUCUGCAAAUUCUCCCACUUAGUUAGCCCCAUUCAUAGGGGGACGCCAUCCAGCCCUUUCUUCACUUCCUGAGCCCCGCAAAAGAACAGUCAGACUGGCCUGGGGCCCGCACCUACUUGUCCUGAAACUGAAGCUUUUCUCGCAUCAAAGGAUUCCAACCUUGACUCUUCUUCCUAUCCCUUGCAGGAACUCGCCCCCCCCACCUCCGCCCGCCACCCACAUACACACACACAGUCUGUAGAUUUCCCCGCAAGGUAACUUUUUGCUUCCACAGAUAUCCUUCUUUGCCUGUGAGUUAUGGUAACUCCCAUGAAGGGCCAAGUGUGUGUGGUGACUGGUGCCUCCAGGGGUAUUGGCCGUGGCAUUGCCUUGCAGCUCUGCCGAGCAGGUGCCACAGUUUACAUUACUGGCCGCCAUAUGGACACCCUUCGGGCCACUGCUCAGGAGGUGAGUGACCACUUGAGGGAGUCCUUCCAAUUAACCACACCUCCUGAUCCUUUGUCUGAUCUUAGAAGACCCUGGUAAAGGGCUGCAGGUGGAGCUCGGGGGCAUGACACCCUAAUAUUCCUCAGAAAACAUGAAUAUUUACUUAGAGUAGAAUAGAUAAACCGCAUAAAUAACUUCAGGUAAGACUGAAUUUUGCUACCAAAUAAGUUUUAUGGAAAAACUUUUUGAGUUUGAGAGUUGGAGGGGUUUGAGAAUUGGAACUAAAGGGCUUUGGACCUGUGUUUUCCUCUAAGGCAGGUUUUACUGAACUGUAAAUUUUCACUUAAAAUUUC
rnacentral:lncRNA from 1 species